rnacentral:rRNA from 1 species
UCGGGAAUUUUGGGCAAUGGGCGAAAGCCUGACCCAGCAACGCCGCGUGAAGGAUGAAGUAUUUCGGUAUGUAAACUUCGAAAGAAUGGGAAGAAUAAAUGACGGUACCAUUUAUAAGCUCCGGCUAACUACGUGCCAGCAGCCGCGGUAAUACGUAGGGAGCAAGCGUUGUUCGGAUUUACUGGGCGUAAAGGGCGCGUAGGCGGCGCGGUAAGUCACUUGUGAAAUCUCUGAGCUUAACUCAGAACGGCCAAGUGAUACUGCAGUGCUAGAGUGUAGAAGGGGCAAUCGGAAUUCUUGGUGUAGCGGUGAAAUGCGUAGAUAUCAAGAGGAACACCUGAGGUGAAGACGGGUUGCUGGUCUAACACUGACGCUGAGGCGCGAAAGCCAGGGGAGCAAACG